AGCAUUUUAGGUCACAGAUAGAUGUAGCUUAGGGUCUCUGUCUAUACACCUUAUAAGACAAUUUAGGUGAUGGCAUGUUGUUUUUCUGCUAUUGAACUGUUUUCUAAUAAUGUUGUGUUAAAUAAAGUGAAGGAAGGAGAGAAAUAACGUUUCCCUAGCAGUUUUUAAAAAUUUCCCCAUGUAAUCCGAUUAAUCGAUUAAUCGUGUCGAGACCCCAUCCGAUUAAUCGAUUAUCCAAAUAAUCGUUUGUUGCAGCCCUAGACUUUAGUAACUCAGGUGAAUUACUUAGUGCAGCAUCCAUUACCCCAGAUAAGCGGACAAAAAUGGAUGGAUGGACGUUUUUGUCCGCUUAUCGGGGGUCAGGUCACAGGGGCAGCAGCCUAAGCACAAAGGCCCAGACUUCCCUCUCCCCAGCCUCUUAGGCCAUCUCCUCCGGGGGGAUCCGAAGGUGUUCCAUGUCCAGCUGAGAGACGUAGUCCCUCCAGUGUGUCCUGGGCCUCCCUUUAGGCCUCCUUUCAGUUGGACGUGCCUGGAAAACCUCUCCAGGAGGCAUCCUGACCAGAUGCCCGAGCCACCUCAACUGGCUCCUCUUGAUGUGGAGGAGCAGCGGGUCUACUGGGAGCCCCUCCUGGCUGACUGAGCUUCUCACCCUAUCUCAAAGGGAGAGCCCAGCCACCCGUUUUAAUGUACAUUUGUAGAAAAUCUAUGAAGAGGCUUAAGCACAGCCUCCUUCAAACUACCAUCCUGCUCAGGAAAGUUUUUUACUGCUGCAUCGCCUCACAGAUUUUUCCUCUUUUGUUUUUUUUAGGGUUGCAAACUCUCUCCGUCGUGUGUUCAUGUCAGAAGUUCCUACAAUAGCGAUCGAUUGGAUCCAGAUUGAUGCUAACUCGUCGGUGCUGCACGAUGAGUUUGUCGCACACAGAGUUGGCCUCAUUCCUCUCACCAGCGAUGACAUAGUGGAUAAAAUGCAAUAUUCAAGGGUGAGUGUGGCGUUUCAGCACAAACGGCUGAUUAUGUUCGUAUUCAAAGCUUCUCAGCAGGUCGAAGACCAAAGUGUUAUAACGGAGUCUUUUCUUGUUUCCGCUGUAGACUAACAUCGUUUCAGAGCUGUGUGAUAUUAAGUUCCUGUUGCAGUUAUUGUGGAUAAAGUUAACAGACGUAUGGGAAUAAAUGAUCAGAGUGGUUAUUAGGGCUGCAACAACGAAUCGAUAAAUUCAAUGAAAAUCGAUUACUAAAAGCGUUGGCAACGAAUUGCGUCAUCGAUUCGUUGUGUCGCACAACUCUUCCAAAAGCGCCCCCCCUUCCCGCCCGCCAUUGCACGCAGACCAGAGCAAGUCAUAUCAGCGCGAGGGAGAGUCGAUCAGCGCGAGGGAGAGCCGGCAGAUCAGCGCGAGGGAGAGCCGGCAGACUUGCGCUGCUGCGAACCGGUUCCGCAUUGUUGUGCAGCGAUCCAGGCAGCUGCUUCCAGCACACGGUCCAUUCUCAAAGUGGUUCAACCAAAAAACUAUAAUUAUCACAGAUCGUUCAUGUCCGCACAUGUUCUCUAUUUUGUCUUAUUUGUGCCUGAAGCGCGCUACUGUGGAGCUCAUCACCUCUGCUGUGGUGAUGUCACCUCACGCAGCAUCGAAAACGCGCUCUCCGCUGUGUGGUCAGGAGAUCCCUUUGAUCUCCUCAAAAGUAACUGAUGAGGUGAAAAGGUAAGAAUCCAGGCAACAGAUUUUCUGGAGAAUUAAGAGGAGAUGCAGGAAGAUGAGAGACAGACAGGACAGGAAAAUAGUUAAAUAAAAACAAGAAAACAAAACAAAGUGUUGAAAAGUAAAAUGUAGGUAGAUUUAUCUCCACGACACGUUUUUACCAGUAAAAAACAAUAAGUUACACACAUGUAAUAUUUAUACAUCUGAUACAAUUCAGAUCACCUUCAAAACUCAGUCACACACCCAGGGCCGUUUCAAGACAUUUUGGGGGCCAAAGCAAAAUGCCCCCCCCCCCCCCCAUAACUGGGCUCCCCAGAAGCCUCUGUGUAAUUUAUACCCUCUCCAGUAGUGUUAGUUAUAUGGUGUUUAUAAAAGCCCCUCAGACAUUACUGACAUGUUCUAAUAUAUCAGAUGAAAAACUAAAUUAUCAGACAUGCUGUCUCAUCUGCUGCUUUUCUAAACUUGCAAAAAGUAACAAAACCAUGUGAAAGCCACUAUUUGUGGAUUCUCUGAAAGUUUCCAUGGAGUGUGUGACAACUUAUUUUUUCAUUGAUCCUAUCGUCUAAUCUCACAGCUGAAACAAGCAUCCUUAAUAAUCUGUGCACAGGAAGCUUACCGAUGCUGUAGUAAAACAAAAGGUAUAAUAAUUUAUUAUUAAUAAAACCUUGUUGCAGCACUAAAGCAGAAAAAUUAUAUUUUGCAUUAAAUAUGCAAAAUAUUUACAUAUGAAUUGUUUUAGAGCCCUUUAAUUGGCAGAAUCUGAUAUUAAUUUAGUUCUUACAAAAAAUGGGUCCCAACAUGGUUUGUGUGGCGUUGCCAUAGUGUGACGUCAUAGGCACAGAUCCCUGUCCUCUUGUUUGGAAAUGGAAAUAUGAUCACCCUACAUUAAACAAACUGUCCACCCGGGCUUUUGCGCUGCACAGAGACGCUUCGCUGCCUACGACUGAAUGUCAGUUGAGAGUCAGUCUCAUGCAGACUGACCAAUGAAGAGAGGGCCUCAAGUUAAGACCCUCUCCUCAUUGGUCAGUCCACACGAGGUGGGUCAAAGGUUACUCUGGGCGGGUUACGUGUUGUCAGGCAUUCAAGUAUUGAGUAUAUUUACUGCAUAUUACAGUAAAAUAUUCUGUAUGUGACCACAUUAUGGUGAUCCUUGGGUCGUGAUGAUGGGGCCCUUGAAUAUUGUUGCCCAGGGUACAACAAAGUGUUAAUCUGGCCCUGGUUCCGCCGUCACAUUCCCGCAGAAACUGGUUGAUCACACCGGGGCCAGACUACUAGCAUGUGGUUUUACAACCACAAUGUCCUCAGAAGCAAAAACGCUUUUAAAAGGGAGGGAGGAGUCCUAACUGUUGCUGCAGGCAUGUUGUGUGAGAGUGCAGUUAUAUACUGGUUAAUAUAUUUUUGGGUUCAGUUGCUUUCAUGUGGCCUAAUGUGAGUCUAUUUGGGAUCAUUGGAAUGAUCAGCAGCAUUUCUUGAUGUGACUUUAUGGCAGUUGCCCAGGGCAUCAUCGCAAGGAGGAUGGCAUUCAUUUACUUUUGUUUUAUUUGGUAUUUUUUCAGUCAUUUUUGGAAAUAGUGAUCAAUUUUGAUUAAUUCACAGCCUAUGUUUAAUUACAUUUAAAAUAAAUGUCAACAGAUGAGAUCAAACAAAACAGAUGAGAAUUGCCCUUAAGCUGUUUAACUUGGACCAAGCAUUUUAGGUCACAGAUAGAUGUAGCUUAGGGUCUCUGUCUAUACACCUUAUAAGACAAUUUAGGUGAUGGCAUGUUGUUUUUCUGCUAUUGAACUGUUUUCUAAUAAUGUUGUGUUAAAUAAAGUGAAGGAAGGAGAGAAAUAACGUUUCCCUAGCAGUUUUAAAAAUUUCCCCAUGUAAUCCGAUUAAUCGAUUAAUCGUGUCGAGACCCCAUCCGAUUAAUCGAUUAUCCAAAUAAUCGUUUGUUGCAGCCCUAAAUGACAGUAAUGGACAUUUUCCUUUUAUUCCACAGCACUAGAAACCAGUCAUAAAAUACAGCUGUAGUUUAAAGUUUAGUUGUCACAAGAAAAAAAUAUGUGGCAGGUGUAAAAUUACCAUCCACUCGCUCUGAAGCUUCGGAGUUUGGAUGCAGAAGAGGGGGACAAAAAACCAAAGACUGCUUUGGGUUUCCCCUCAUUGUGGUGCAGUGUGUCGGUGGAGUUGAAACGAGCAAUUCUUUCAGCAGUCUGGUCAGUGAACAGUUCAAACUUAUCACGUCCAGUUACUCAAUAAGUGACAAUAAACUGUCAAACCUGCCUUGACCAGGUAAAGUUUCAGUGCUUUUUUUUUUUUUUGUGGGGGAAAAAAAGGGCCGUGCAUUACUUUAAGGUGCAAGACAUGAAGUUCUCAUUACCAUUCAAAGUGAUUAAAUACUGCCACCUUGUGGACAGAUAGAUGAUAGCUGGAAAAGUGACAAAAAGAGCAUGAAUUCAAAUAGGAUAAAGUUUUUUUUUUCUCCAAAAGUGCAAAUCAUUCAAAAUUCUCUGAAGGGGAACAGAAAAUGCAGUCAUGCUGGGCAAAUCUAAAACAACUGCCUCUUGAUUCGAACAUUUUACAUAUUAAAACAUUGUGUGCAUGUCAUUUUCACCAUGAUUAAUGUAUCAUUCAUAGAUAAACUCUUGUAAAAAUCAAAGAAUUGCAACAUCCACCUAGAAAGGUUUGAAUUUAAGCGCAUCACUCAGACUUUUCACAAAAAAGGGAAGUCACAUUCUGAACAAGGACAAAACAAACAAUUCACACAGAACUCUUAUUGUCAGCUUUCACUCCCAAUGCAGGAAAUGCUUUCUAAAUGCCCAGCUGAGCUCCAAAUGGAGCUGAAACAUACUUUCUUCCAAUCACAUCACAUUAUAUGAUCAAAAUUAAUGAAAAAAAACAAAACAAAACAUAGUUCUGUGUCUUUUGAUCAUAAAACAUUCAUUUUGUUUUUCAAGCCUUCGAACAUCUGGAUGGUUUAACAUGGUUGUAGUACACUGAAUUGUUAUUAUGUAUAAAAUGUUGUGAAAUACUACCGGUACUGGACUCAAGCUUGAGCGUUCACAUUCCUGAGACACAAACAGCUGCUUUCCGGUGAAAAGUUCAGUCAGAUUCUGUGUUUUGGUAAAGACUGGCCUUUGUUUUUGUUCUAAAUAUACAUAUAUGAGCACUGAGUUCAUGUUGGCAGUUGUUUGCAGUGGAAUUAAUUCAAUUAAAAGACAAUUAAUCAUAAAAUACUAGUUAUCACAACUACAGGACCUAAAGCUAAUGCUAAUGGCAAAUCUGCAGAACAAGCUAGCUUAGGACAUUUAUUCAUGCUUCUUAACGUCAUGACAUGGUAUAGCUAUGAAUAUUUUGUGGGGAUAAAAAAAAGAUUGAGAAAAAAAUAAUGAAGUGGUUUUGUCACAUUUGUCUAAAAACCAUUGCCAAAAACACAGCUCUGUCCGAAACCAACAACUGGACCACAGCACUUCUGCACUUACCUGGGUCCUUCAUUCAUUACACACUCGCAUAUUUAGCAACAGAACACCACUGGUGUGAGAGGAUCUCUUAAUAAUAUCAGAGAAGGAGAAACAGCCAGCUGCGACCACUUUAGGACAAACUACUAGAGUCCCAAAAAGAAAAACAUAAUUUGAAGUCAGACAACAAAAAAUGUUUGGACUGAGAAACAAUAUCUCUAACUGUGGCGAUGCGCGUUCCCAUAUCAGGCAGACAUGGCCCAGGGAUGACAGCUGAUGGGAGGGGUGAAAGAUAUGUGGCUGCGUUUGUGUUUAAGAGCUAGCUUUUGUUUUGCAGAUUUGCCAUUGCAUUAAUUGAGGUCUUUAGAUUCUCUGUUGUGUAAAAUAAAAUCAUGAUGGGUCAAG